rnacentral:rRNA from 1 species
AAACCAGCACCUCGAGUGGUCAGGAUGAUUAUUGGGCCUAAAGCAUCCGUAGCCGGCUCUGUAAGUUUUCGGUUAAAUCUGUACGCUCAACGUACAGGCUGCUGGGAAUACUGCAGAGCUAGGGAGUGGGAGAGGUAGACGGUACUCGGGAGGAAGUGGUAAAAUGCUUUGAUCUCUCGAUGACCACCUGUGGCGAAGGCGGUCUACCAGAACACGUCCGACGGUGAGGGAUGAAAGCUGGGGGAGCAAACCGGAUUAGAAACCCGUGUAGUCC